AUCAAGUAAUUAAAAAGUUAAGGUUUUGAGGUGUGGUGGUGGUGGCCAAAUUAUUCAAAGAAAAGAGGGAAGAAGAAGAAUUUCCAAUCUAAGUCUUGAAUUAGCUCUUUGUGGUUGAGGUUGAAGCUUGUAUGUGUGCAUUAUCGUUUUAGCGUUAAUAUUGAAGUUGCGGAGGAGGUAGUUCCAGAAGAAGGAACUAGUGUUGUUGAGUUGAAGGAAGUUGGAUUAGAGCUUGAAGUUGGUUUUGGAAGCCUUGAAGGUAUUAAGGUCAUUCUUGGGUGAAUGACUAUCUUUUGGUGUAGAGACCUAGAGAUCCCUCCCAUCUUGGCUCUUGGUACUUUUGGUUUUGAAAGUCAUGUGUUGUAAAUCUUCUGUAAACAAUCAGGUAUUAAGCUUUUUGGAAAGUUGGUGUAAUUGCAAUUUGGGCGAAAAUCGUGUCAAAAUGGGUAAACGACCCAUUUGGUUGUGUUUAUGGAUGUUGUUUCAAAUAAAUAUCAUAACUAUGUUUGUAAAUGGGUAAAAUUCUUGU